rnacentral:miRNA from 1 species
UUGAGAUAUUAGGUGGG